ensembl:snRNA U6 U6 spliceosomal RNA
AUGCUUGUUUUGGCACCACAUAUACUACAACUGGAACAAUACAGAAAAGAUUAGCACAGCCCCUGCCUGAGGAUGACAUGCAAAUUCAUGAAGGGUCCCAUAUAUAU